rnacentral:rRNA from 1 species
GACAGAGGCCUCGAGCGUUAGGCGGAAUCACUGGGCUUAAAGCGUGUGUAGGCGGAUCGUUAAGUACCUUGUGAAAUCCCACGGCUCAACCGUGGAACGGCUGGGUAUACUGGCGGUCUUGGGCCAUUCAGGGGCGACUGGAACAAGCGGUGGAGCGGUGAAAUGCGUAGAUAUCGCUUGGAACGCCGAAGGUGAAAACAGGUCGCUGGGGAUGUGCCGACGCUGAGACACGAAGACCAGGGGAGCAAACGGG